CAGCCGCCGCGGUAAAACAGAGGGUGCGAGCGUUAAUCGGAUUUACUGGGCGUAAAGCGUGCGUAGGCGGCUUUUUAAGUCGGAUGUGAAAUUCCUGAGCUUAACUUAGGAAUUGCAUUCGAUACUGGGAAGCUAGAGUAUGGGAGAGGAUGGUAGAAUUCCAGGUGUAGCGGUGAAAUGCGUAGAGAUCUGGAGGAAUACCGAUGGCGAAGGCAGCCAUCUGGCCUAAUACUGACGCUGAGGUACGAAAGCAUGGGGAGCAAACAGGAUUAGAUACCCGCGUAGUCCCUGUCUCUUAUAC
rnacentral:rRNA from 1 species